rnacentral:misc_RNA from 1 species
AAAUUCUCUGAAUUUCUGACUCCAAUAAUGGUUUAUCCAAAUUAAUUUUCAUUAAUAUGCCACCAUCUGAAAUUUUGUCUAAUUUAUUGACUAUUUUAUCAAUUAGUUCAUCAGUUUGGCAAUUGGUUAUUUUGGAGACAGCUUCAAAAAAACAAGCAUUCCUUCGGGUUUCAGCUUUCUUCCCUUCUUCUUCUUUUGUAUAACUUGCUUCACCAAGUGAGGAAUUACCUGGUUCACUUUUGCUCCCCUUCUUGAUCUCUUCUUCUUCCUUUCUUAAAACCCUAGUUUGGUGUAAGAUUGGUAAUUUGCCCUUCUUGUUUUCAAUAAGUUCAAUCAGUCCUGAUUCUUUCUUUUUUUCUUUUCUUAAUUCCUCCCUUUUGCCUACUCCAAUUCUGAGUGCAUUCUUUCCUCCCCCCUUGGGUUCGUGUAUGCUACUCAAACCUUCAUGCACAUGAACUGCAUGAACUUCAGAUUCCUCAGCCUUUGCGGAAUCAAUUGGAGGUUCGCAAUUAAUUGCAUUCACGCUCAACUCCAAUUCAUGUUGAUCUGGUUUUGGAUCAGUAGAGUUUUCUGGACUCAUUGAAUUCAGUUGGAUUAAAUUCGCAACUGAAAUACUUGACAUUGGCUUGGACAGCUCGUUAUUGUCAUUCAGAUGAAUGUCUAGGACCAGUGAAUCCACAUACACAGAGAAGCUUAUGUCCUCAAUGAACAAAUCAUCCAAAAUCAUCUUUUGAUAAAAAUCCUUGUUCAUUAACCAAUGAUCAAAUUUUCCCUCACCUCCUGUAAUGGCAUUCACUGCUGAACUCCAGGGA